CGCGUUUUUCUAUUGAGCAUACGAAGUUCACACCAUGCUGUCUAAUCUUGUACAUUCGAUCACGUUCCGCUAUUGAUAUAUUGUAAGCAAAUUGUUUUCAAAUUUGGUCGUGCAUUCAUUGUGUUAUUGUAGGUAUACCUAAUCAGGUGUCUGGAGGUAUUUGUAGUCCGCUACUUGCGCUCUCCGGGUAUUUUUUUUAUUUUUAGUCCAAAUUAAUUAUGUUGGAAUUUUUUUUCUUGAUUGUUCAUCGUGUUUAAGAACGAUUCACUCCCAAGGCCUCUCUAUUCGGUGAUGAAUAAGGUACAGUACGAUACUACAUGUACCUACCUACAUGUCGCAAGGAGACAAAUGACCACGCCUACCUGUAAAAUUAC